rnacentral:rRNA from 1 species
UACAGAGGUCCCAAGCGUUGUUCGGAUUCACUGGGCGUAAAGGGUGCGUAGGUGGUGAGGUAAGUCGGAUGUGAAAGCUCCGAGCUCAACUCGGAAAUGGCAUUGGAAACUACCUUGCUCGAGGGUUUGAGGGGGGACUGGAAUACUUGGUGUAGCAGUGAAAUGCGUAGAUAUCAAGUGGAACACCAGUGGCGAAGGCGAAUCCCUGGAAAAUACCUGACACUGAGGCACGAAAGCUAGGGGAGCAAACAGG